rnacentral:rRNA from 1 species
UGGGGAAUAUUGCACAAUGGGCGCAAGCCUGAUGCAGCCAUGCCGCGUGUAUGAAGAAGGCCUUCGGGUUGUAAAGUGCUUUCAGCGGGGAGGAAGGUGUUGAGGUUAAUAACCUCAGCAAUUGACGUUACCCGCAGAAGAAGCACCGGCUAACUCCGUGCCAGCAGCCGCGGUAAUACGGAGGGUGCAAGCGUUAAUCGGAAUUACUGGGCGUAAAGCGCACGCAGGCGGUCUGUCAAGUCGGAUGUGAAAUCCCCGGGCUCAACCUGGGAACUGCAUUCGAAACUGGCAGGCUAGAGUCUUGUAGAGGGGGGUAGAAUUCCAGGUGUAGCGGUGAAAUGCGUAGAGAUCUGGAGGAAUACCGGUGGCGAAGGCGGCCCCCUGGACAAAGACUGACGCUCAGGUGCGAAAGCGUGGGGAGCAAACA